rnacentral:rRNA from 1 species
UUCGCAAUGCCCGAAAGGGUGACGAAGCGACGCCGCGUGCGGGAAGAAGGCCUUCGGGUUGUAAACCGCUGUCGGGAGUUAAGAAAUGCAAGGGUGUUAACAGCAUCCUUGCUUGACUAAGGCUCCGGAGGAAGCCACGGCUAACUCUGUGCCAGCAGCCGCGGUAAUACAGAGGCGGCAAGCGUUGUUCGGAAUUAUUGGGCGUAAAGAGCACGUAGGCGGCUGUGUAAGUCGGUUGUGAAAGCCUUCCGCUCAACGGGAGAACGGCAUCCGAUACUGCAUGGCUUGAGUGCGGGAGGGGAGAGUGGAACUUCUGGUGGAGCGGUGAAAUGCGUAGAUAUCAGAAGGAACGCCGGCGGCGAAAGCGACUCUCUGGCCCGUAACUGACGCUGAGUGUGCGAAAGCUAGGGGAGCAAACGGGAUUAGAUACCCCGGUAGUCCUAGCCGUAAACGAUGGGCACUAAGUAGAGGGGUUUU